UGGGGUUAGUAAGUAAAGCUUAAAAUUAAUAGCUUUUUCUGCAUAAAAAAUUAAGUUUGUUGCAUGUACACAUUGUAAUCAGUUGAUAACUUAAUUUAAUGAGUUGGUCGAAAUGAAAAUAAAGAAAACAGUCUUAGCUCAGUAAUAUAUCGAUUUUGAACAGACAUUUCUGUGUUAACUUAACAUGAAAGUGUAUUCAGUUAAUACAACUUAAAAAUCUCGUAAGCGUCCUUUAAAAGCUGAGUACAAGGCUGACUUGCCCAGACAUGUUGUGCUCUCAGACCACUGAUCGAAAGAAACGGAGGCAAAGAGAGAAAGCAGAGAAGCGGCAUUUUGUACGGAACAUUAUCAAACGUUAAAGCUUUGUGGCAGGAAGUUGUCAAUCAAGCACCAAAAAUCAAUGACCUGAAAGAAAGAUGGCCUGCUCUUUUUGAUGCAGUUCAGAUAAACCAAGAAUUCAGAAGGAUCACCACUGUUAACCUGGAGACAACAUUCAUGGCAAAGCUGGACCAGUACUCUCAGAAAAUAA